rnacentral:rRNA from 1 species
CUAGCAGGACAAGUUCUGAUUAAUGUUGACGCUUCGUUUUCAAACCAUGACUACACUGGAUCAUGUGGCGCGGUGGUAAGGGACUACACGGGGCAAUUCGUCGCGGCCGCGACGGCGAAGUUAUAUCAUGUACCCGACGUUGUUUCUGCAGAAGCUGCGGCCUUAUUGGAGGGACAGAAGCUGGCGACAAAGUUGGGAUGCAAUAAUAUCCUAGUUCGUACGGACAAUGUUACGUUAGUUGAAGCUCUGAAGGAAGAUGAAGGCUACUCAAUGGUGGCAGCACCAGUUUUAUCUGCAUGUCGUAGUGAGUUUGAUAGUUUCGGAAAGGCUUUUAUCGAAUAUUGUAAUAGAGAAUCUAAUGUAGUCGCUCAUGUGUUAGCUGAGUGGGGCCGGGAGAAUCACCCCUCAGAGUGGUUCGACUCUCCCCCGGGAUUCAUCGUGAAAUAUUUAGCGGAUGAUGUAAGUGUAAUUUGA